rnacentral:lncRNA from 1 species
GGGUAGAGAUGUAGCAUCAAACAUUCACGGAUGUCCAGGGAGCACGGGCACACAGGCUGCUGGCCAGAGGUACUAGGAAGGUACAGGCGGGAGUUCGACGAGGACGCACCUUCCCCUGUCUUGGAAAGGCUCAGGUGACAUGUAUGUGUCUUUUGCUGGGAGCAGCCCUCGAUUCUUUUAAACUAUUAUGAGCACAAUACACUAGUCAUGUCGGAGAUAACAGCCUGACCUCAGCGUGGCUGCAAAAUGAAGCCACUUUUGGCUUUCCUAAGCCAUCAGGUAACAUCGUCACAUGGUCUUCCUUUUCUAAUGAGAGCCUAGAUAUUCACUGCUCAUCCCGCACGAAGGGACUAUUGCUUUCCUCGACUCCUGAGGCUGCUCACAGCGCUGCUGGACUCUUUAAGCCCUGAGGUCAUGUGAAAAGAAGUUUGCCCUGUGUCCUUCUGUCUCCUGUUGGCUGUCCACAAAAUGGAGAAGGCGGAAGCAACCUGAGGCGUCCUCUUUGUCUGUAAAGAUAGAGAGUCCAUUGUGGAAGGGGGAGAUACAGGAACUAUAUAGGCGAGGCUCUACCGGACUGCAUCUCUUAUCUCCAGAAUUCUUUUACAGAAAAGAAAAAAAUAAACUUUUAUCUGGCUUAAGCCA